rnacentral:rRNA from 1 species
UUGCACGCUGGCGGCAUGCUUUACACAUGCCAGUCGAGCGGUAACAGGCCUUCGGGUGCUGACGAGUGGCGAACGGGUGAGUAAUGCAUCGGAACGUACCCAGAGGUGGGGGAUAACGCAGCGAAAGCUGUGCUAAUACCGCAUGUGAUCUGAGGAUGAAAGCGGGGGACCGAGCAGCAAUGUUUGGCCUCGCGCCUUUGGAGCGGCCGAUGUCGGAUUAGCUAGUUGGUGGGGUAAAGGCCUACCAAGGCGACGAUCCGUAGCUGGUCUGAGAGGACGACCAGCCACACUGGGACUGAGACACGGCCCAGACUCCUACGGGAGGCAGCAGUGGGGAAUUUUGGACAAAGGGCGCAAGCCUGAUCCAGCAAUGCCGCGUGCGGGAAGAAGGCCUUCGGGUUGUAAACCGCUUUUGGCAGGAACGAAACGGUGUCCGCUAAUACCGGGCGCUAAUGACGGUACCUGCAGAAUAAGCACCGGCUAACUACGUG